rnacentral:antisense_RNA from 2 species
CUUGACGGUAGCUGUGCGCAGGGCGCCUUAGGGCGCGCCGGUUUACGCUUUGCCCGGUCUGCUAACCUGCGUACAGCUGCCACCCUU